CACGGGGGGAGCAAGCGUUGUUCGGAUUCAUUGGGCGUAAAGGGCUCGUAGGUGGCUCUGUAAGUCGGAGGUGAAAGACCACGGCUCAACCGUGGAAACGCCUUCGAAACUGUGGAGCUUGAGGCUGGGAGAGGAGAUCGGAAUUCCUGGUGUAGCGGUGAAAUGCGUAGAUAUCAGGAGGAACACCGGUGGCGAAGGCGGAUCUCUGGGCAGCAACUGACGCUGAGGCACGAAGGCCAGGGGAGCAAACGGG
rnacentral:rRNA from 1 species